CACCCUCCUUCUGACUGGGAAAUGUUGGGAGGCCACAGUUACACGUUCAUCUCCAAAAGCAACCUGAAAAUGGUCCAGUCCAUCAUCCUCUGUGGUCUGGGCAAUGGAGCCAGUGCCAGCAGAAAAAGCAAGUAUACCCAUUGCUUGUGUGGCAGGGAGCUUGCGAGAGAGAGAGAUGCUGGGGGAGAAGGAUGAAAGUUAAACCCCAAAGUCUCCUGCCAGAUGUUGGGGGCACCUAAAGAGAUGGCAGUGGCUGAUGCUGGAAGGAAAGACAGCUUUUCUCCCUUUCAGGCAAUUCCUAUGUUGUUUGUGAGUCUCUUUUCUUCUAAGGCUUGACCUUGAGAGACACUAUAAAUGCCUUAAAAUCUCAGUGCAGGACUCCUGCAAGCUAUUUCAUCAUGCAAUCAGGUUAUCACUUGCUACAGCUCCUUCUCCCCCUGGUACCUUUGAGAAGGCUGUGUUCAGGGGAAGCUUGUGGAUGAACUCCUCAUGCUCAGGCUCUGAUGAGUCAAAAACCAAAGCCUUCUGCCCCACCAAUGUGUUUGGUCCCUCUUACCCAGUGCUUGCUGAAUCUGUACCUCCCUGCUAAUAAAGCCUGGUACUUUGUAGGGGCAGGCCCGCAAGAAAACAACAAACAAACAUCUUCAAUAGAAGGGAUGUGCUGCCAGCCCCCUCCCUUCUCCAGCGAGUGUUUGUAUGGUCCUGAUUUCUGUACAGAGACUCUGAUCUGCAAGUUGUAUUCGUGACCAUAAAACAGAGAUUAGCUCUUAUCUCUGGCAGGCAGCAAUAUCAGGCACCAGCCCUCUCUCCAAAGCGUUGGCAGCCAAGGAGCAGCCCAGCACACGAAGAUGAACUAGUUGGAAGAGGAGGAGGAAGGCAUUUGCUCGAGACUAAUUGAAUUUUCUGCCUGUGAAGAGAAAGACACGACACAGACACUCUUGAGUCCUCCAUGUAAUGUGUGCAGACUCUUCAGGCCCUCCACAAAGGGUGUGCAGACUCUUUCCACACCUCUUCCAAAGAUGGGACAUUGAGGCUGAUCCCCAAGGACGUGCACAAUGCAAGCACGUUUGACAUCAGGACAUGAGGAAUGCCAUGGUGGAACCUAGCAGUGGUGGCCUGGGGCUGGAAAGAGAUCAGGCUCCUUGCAGGCAAGAGCAGGAAAUCAGGGCUUGACUCCUGAUCAGUCAGAAUAACCUGCCUGCAUCCACCCUGUACCAUAGGGUUUGUAGCCUGGGAACGGCCCCAGAACAUUUUCUGUCCAGGUCAAAGCUAAAGGUAGAAAGCUAAACCCCAUCUCUCUCAUGAUCUCACAGCUUGAAGACUAAAUUCCUUCAUUGUCCUCCCCAUGACCAAGCACCUUGUA